rnacentral:rRNA from 1 species
UGGGGAAUAUUGCGCAAUGGGCGAACGCCUGACGCAGCGACGCAGCGUGAGGGAAGAAGGCCUUCGGGUCGUAAACCUCUGUCUAGAGGGAAGAAACCAUUGAGGUCGAACAGGCCUCUUUGCUGACGGUACCUCUGAAGGAAGCACCGGCUAACUCCGUGCCAGCAGCCGCGGUAAUACGGAGGGUGCGAGCGUUAAUCGGAAUCACUGGGCGUAAAGCGCACGUAGGCGGUGUCGUAAGUCGGAUGUGAAAGCCCUCGGCUCAACCGGGGAACUGCAUUCGAUACUGCGAUGCUUGAGUGCCGGAGAGAGUGGCGGAAUUCCAGGUGGAGGAGUGAAGUCCGGAGAUAGCUGGAGGAACACCAGUGGCGAAGGCGGCUGCCUGGACCGAUAUUGACGCUGAGACGCGAAAGCGUGGGUAGCAAACA